GUCUACAGCCACGCCACCCUGAACAAGUCGGAUCAUGUCUGAUCUCGGAAGCUAAGCAGAGUCGGGCCUGGUUAGUACUUGGAUGGGAGACUACCUAGGAAGACCAGGUGCUGUAGGCA
rnacentral:rRNA from 1 species